UGGGGAAUAUUGCACAAUGGGGGAAACCCUGAUGCAGCGACGCCGCGUGAGCGAAGAAGGUUUUCGAAUCGUAAAGCUCUGUCCUAUGAGAAGAUAAUGACGGUAUCAUAGGAGGAAGCCCCGGCUAAAUACGUGCCAGCAGCCGCGGUAAUACGUAUGGGGCGAGCGUUGUCCGGAUUUACUGGGCGUAAAGGGCGUGUAGGCGGCUAGAUAAGUGUGAUGUUUAAAUCCAAGGCUUAACCUUGGGGUUCAUUACAAACUGUUUAGCUUGAGUGCUGGAGAGGAUAGUGGAAUUCCUAGUGUAGCGGUAAAAUGCGUAGAUAUUAGGAGGAACACCGGUGGCGAAGGCGGCUAUCUGGACAGUAACUGACGCUGAGGCGCGAAAGCGUGGGGAGCAAACAGG
rnacentral:rRNA from 1 species